rnacentral:rRNA from 1 species
CCUACGGGAGGCAGCAGUGAGGAAUAUUGGUCAAUGGGCGCGAGCCUGAACCAGCCAAGUAGCGUGAAGGAUGACUGCCCUACGGGUUGUAAACUUCUUUUAUAAGGGAAUAAAGUGAGGCACGUGUGCCGUUUUGUAUGUACCUUAUGAAUAAGGAUCGGCUAACUCCGUGCCAGCAGCCGCGGUAAUACGGAGGAUCCGAGCGUUAUCCGGAUUUAUUGGGUUUAAAGGGAGCGUAGAUGGGUUGUUAAGUCAGUUGUGAAAGUUUGCGGCUCAACCGUAAAAUUGCAGUUGAUACUGGCAGUCUUGAGUACAGGUGAGGUAGGCGGAAUUCGUGGUGUAGCGGUGAAAUGCUUAGAUAUCACGAAGAACUCCGAUUGCGAAGGCAGCUUACUAGACUGCAACUGACACUGAUGCUCGAAAGUGUGGGUAUCAAACAGGAUUAGAUACCCGUGUAGUC